rnacentral:rRNA from 1 species
CCUACGGGCGGCAGCAGUGAGGACUAUUGGUCAAUGGACGAGAGUCUGAACCAGCCAAGUAGCGUGAAGGAUGACUGCCCUAUGGGUUGUAAACUUCUUUUAUAAAAGAAUAAAACGAGGCACGUGUGCCUUUUUGCAUGUACUUUAUGGAUAAGGAUCGGCUAACUCCGUGCCCGCAGCCGCGGUAAUACGGAGGAUCCGAGCGUUAUCCGGAUUUAUUGGGUUUAAAGGGAGCGUAGAUGGGUUGUUAAGUCAGUUGUGAAAGUUUGCGGCUCAACCGUAAAAUUGCAAUUGAUACUGGCAGUCUUGAGUACAGUUGAGGUAAGCGGAAUUCGUGGUGUAGCGGUGAAAUGCUUAGAUAUCACGAAGAACCCCGAUUGCGAAGGCAGCUUACUAAACUGUGACUGACAUUGAUGCUCGAAAGUGUGGGUAUCAAACAGGAUUAGAUACCCGAGUAGUC